rnacentral:rRNA from 1 species
AACGAACGCUGGCGGCAUGCCUAACACAUGCAAGUCGAACGAAGCCUUCGGGCUUAGUGGCGCACGGGUGCGUAACGCGUGGGAAUCUGCCCUUAGGUACGGAAUAACUCAUGGAAACGUGUGCUAAUACCGUAUGAUGUCUUCGGACCAAAGAUUUAUCGCCUAGGGAUGAGCCCGCGUUGGAUUAGCUAGUUGGUGAGGUAAAGGCUCACCAAGGCGACGAUCCAUAGCUGGUCUGAGAGGAUGAUCAGCCACACUGGGACUGAGACACGGCCCAGACUCCUACGGGAGGCAGCAGUGGGGAAUAUUGGACAAUGGGCGAAAGCCUGAUCCAGCAAUGCCGCGUGAGUGAAGAAGGCCUUCGGUUGUAAAGCUCUUUACCCGG